UGGGAUACAUAUUGAGAAUGUGCAGGUUUGUUACUUAGGUAUACAUGUGCCAGGGGGUUUGCUGCACCUAUCAACCUGUCAUAUAGGUUUUACGACCUGCAUGCCUUAGGUAUUCGUCUUAAUGCUCUCCUUCUCCUUGCCCUCCACUCCUCAACAGGCCUAUUUUAUUUGUUAUCAAUACAUAAUUACACACAUUUAUGGUGUACAUGUGAUAUUUUGAUACAUGCAUAUGACGUGUAAUGAUCAAGUAAUUAGAUCAUCCAUCACUUUACACAUUUAUCAUUUUUGUGUGUUGGGAACAUUUGAAAUCAUCUCUUCUAGCUAUUUUGAGAUAUGAAAUGAAUUAUUGGCAACUAUUGUCAUCCUACUGUGUUACAGAGCACUAGAACUUGCUCCUUCUUUCCUAAUAUAUUUUUGUAUCCAUUAACCAACCUCUCUUCAUUCUCCUCCUCCCUCCUCUUCCCAGACUCUUGUAACCAUCAUUCUACUAAGUUUAUGAGAUCAACUUUUUUAGCUCCCACAUAUGAGUGAGAAUAUGCAAAAAAUUUUUGAAAAUUUAUUAAUUGGUUCUCACAAGACUGUAUAAUCUUGUUCUACUGCAUCACUUGAUCGCAGUUUCUCUUCUCCAAGGCUGUUGCGUCAGAGUAGGAGCACAUCUCUCUUUAUUAUUUUCUCGAAAAGCACAGUUAGCAUUGUUGGAAAAUAAAUACUAAUUAAUCAGUUACCUUGCUCCAAAGAUAAGUUUGUCAGCACUUAAACUCAGAGCAUCCAUCAAUCUUUACUCUUAUGUUCAAAGUUAUUACAGAUUCAUGAUAUACUUUAAAGGAAAACAUGUUCAAUAUUUUCUUUACAUAUAGUUUGACUAUAACUCAUCCUUAUUUAAGGGUAGAUAUGAUAGAUUAUGAUGUUUGAAAAAGUCUCAUAUACAACCUUUUACCCUUUCUAAACAUCCACUCCAAGUUCAGAUAAUCAAAGCCUCAAAUGUAAACUGCAGCAAAAGGGAUCUUUUCAUAUAAAGUCUAUGCAUGAAGUAACCUGGUUUAAUGAAAAGGAUACUGCUUUAGUUUGAUUCUGUGUCCUCACUCAAAUCUCACAUUCAAUUGUAAACCCCAGUGUUGGAGCUGGGGCCUGGUGGGAGGUGAUGGGAUCAUGGGGGUGGUUUCUCAUGGUUUAACGUCAUCUUCUUUGGUGCCGUCAUCACAAUGGUGAGUUCUCAUGAGAUCUGAUUGUUUAAAAGUAUGUGGCACCUCCCCACUUGCUCUCUUCCUCCUGCUUCCACCAUGUAAGAUGCCUGUUCCUGCUUUGCCUUCCGCCAUGAGUAAAAGCUCCCUGAGGCCUCCCCAGAAGCAGUUGCUGCCGUGCUCCCUGUACAGCCUGUGGAACUGUGAGCCAGUGAAAUCCCUUUUCUCAUAAAUUACCCUGCUCGGGUUAUUUCCUUAUAGCAGUGUGAGAACUGACUAAUACAAAUGCCAACUUUAGAAUCUGAAAAAUGUGAAUUCAAAACCCUGCUUUGACACCUGUAACUUACCUAACUUCUUUAAGCCUCAGUUUCCUGUUCUGCAAAAUAAGUCAUAAGGUUGUCGGGAGGUUUAAAUCAGAAAAAAAAGAAGUGAAAUACUUACCACAGUGUUCAGCUCAUGGAAAGCAUUUGGUAAACAACAACUAUUAUUGUUAUUCACUGAAAUUUUCAUAUUACUGCAUUAAGUUUUCUAAUAAUGAAGUUGGUGAUGUUAACAGUGAUUUAAAUGCUAUAUUUGGCCACAGUUUUAACAGUUCCAUAUUUGGACUGAGGCCUUAGUAUUUUGGAUACAUGUAUCCUGCUAAGGAUACAAUCCUUAGCAGUUGUAGUAAAUAAUCAAAAUUUCUCAGAUCUAAAGUUGAAUUGGCAGUUACCAGUUGUCCACGUGGUAAACUAAGCUUCUAUAUACUUUCAAAACAGAUACAAUCAUCCAAAAAUCACCUCCUACCACUUGACAAUAAUCUGGUGGCCUGCCAUAUCAGUGAUGUGCCCGCCUUACUUGGUAAAGCUACCUAUGACAGCUAACCAUAGCUGCAUAGAUGCUCUUGGUGAAGGUUAGCUUCACCUAUUCCUGUUCUGACUCAGGGAUGGUAGUGUUAGAUUUGACCUUGAUGUUAAGAUUAAAGCUUCAUCCUAGACUAUUAGUACAAAUACUCAAAUAACUGUUUAGGGAGAUUUCUCUUAUUAACUUCAAUUUGAAGUGAAAUGCAGUGCCAUCAAACACGGCCGAGAGUUCCAACCCAGUACUGAAGGUGUACAGAGGCAUAUUUUGGUAUUGUCAUAUAUUGGUUUCUUUAUCUCCUACAGCUUUUAAUGGUGAUGGUAAAACCACAUUAAAAAUUUGAUUCAGGCCGGGUGCGGUGGCUCAAGCCUGUAAUCCCAGCACUUUGGGAGGCCGAGGCGGAUGGAUCACGAGGUCAAGAGCUCGAGACCAUCCUGGUCAACAUGGUGAAACCCCGUCUCUACUAAAAAUACAAAAAUUAGCUGGGUAUGGUGGCGCGUGCCUGUAAUCCCAGCUACUCAGGAGGCUGAGGCAGGAGAAUUGCCUGAACCCAGGAGGCGGAGGUUGCGGUGAGCCGAGAUGGCACCAUUGCACUUCAGCCUGGGUAACAAGCGCGAAACUCUGUCUAAAAAAAGAAAGAAAUUGAUUCACUGUUUCACUUUGAAUUCUCCUAAGUUCCUAUUGAAAUGACCCAAAGUAUAACUUUUAUUAACAUUUUUUCAAAACUUAGACUCCCAUGUCAGUAAUCCAAAUUCAUAUCCUUGACCACCUAAGAGUUGCUGGUGACAUCAAUCCCAUGUCAUCAUUGAUGAGAAAUAAACUUGGGACACUUGGUGAAAGUAUUUUCUUCCUCAUACUCAGCACACACAUUUCAAAAUAACUAUCUGCUCAUUUGCUUUGAUUUCUUCAAAUAGGAGAAAUAAAACAGUCACCAGUCCCAAUAUUGGCCAAAGACCUUCCUGAAGCAAUGGAAAAGUAACUUCCAUUCUUUUUGUUUCUGUUCUUAUUUCCCUUUUCUUUCAAGGAAUCCGUACUUAAAUGUGACUUCUACGCUUUGAUAACUAGAUACCUUACAGCAAUUUGCCGUUCUUGAGCUAAGCUGUAUUUCGCUCUCUUGAUCUUUUAAUUCUCCGAUUUCAAGCACAUACGAAAGCCCUUAAUAUUUUCUUGCCCAGGGAAUUUUUGAAGAGCCGAACACAAAAGCCCUAGGCUCUUCCUGCCUUUUGUGAAAGCCUCAAUACAGGGAAGAGAUUACCUUGGGCUUCCCAGAGAACAGAAGGGAGGGACAGCUCUUUGAGAGAAUAUCGGUGAGGUAGGAAGGGGAAAAAUUCUUUAGCAGUGAGCUUUGUGACGGUAACAGAAACGUUCGGUGUACACAAAAACUGGUUUGGUAGCCUCGGGGAAGAGAACUGGUUUUGGUAACUUUAGCGAUCGGGAAGUCGGAGCAGACGCUCCUUGAGUCACAGGGGCUCCUAAUGAAGGCAGUGCAACGGCAAACAGAGAAGGAAACUUGCAUCAAUAUCAUGGUAGAAUAAUUCAUGAAAUAGAUCCACUUUUGAAUGGCUAUUUGCAGAAACAAAAGCAAACAUAAAAAGAAUUGGUUCGGUAAGAAGGAGGCAGUGACAGUUCUUUGCUAAUAUUGAAGCAUCAACUUGGUCAUCAGUUGGGUUGUGUGUGUGAUAUUUUAAACGAAAAUAACUAGCGAGACCUUACUUUAUCUAUUUUGUGUGACUACUGCUACAAAUGGUUUGAGCGUCAAGCAUUUGUUCUCAAAAUGUGCACCUGUCUGAAAUACAGUUGGUUUUUGUUAUUCACAUUAGCUGUGGUUUAUAAAGUUGCUGUAAACACUGAUUUAGUAAAUAUUGAAUCAUUGCUCCUGGGAAGAACACGGGGUUAAGUUCUUGUGAGCCUUGUGUCACGUUUUUAUUCAUUGGUCAAUACAUAAGUUUAUUUUAUCUGGAUUUCUGUUUAAAGGCACCCAUUUAAUAUAUAUAUUAAUUCAUUAAUGUUAAACUUGCACCCAACAGCAGUAUAACUCAUGUCAUAUCUAACACGUGUAUUUUCUCUGGAAGGCAGAUCACAGCCUUCCUGCACUCAGCACUUCCAUAAUUUGUUUUGAGGGCCAUUUUAAAGGUAGACUCACCAACAGAAAGCACAAAAAUGAAAAAAAAGAAGUCACAGCACAGGCUGUGCAAGGACACCCGUUGGCUGUCUGAGUUGAAGCUAGAAGAUAGGGUUGCCUCCUUCCACCUCAUCUGGCACAUGAGCAGUGAGAGACUGAGAUUUUUGCCCCUAUAUGCACAUCUGCAGAUGACCGGAAAAGAGCUGUGAGUAUUGAUUUUGGGGUCAUGAAUACAUUUUAGCAAGUAAUUAAAUUAGCAAAUAUGGAAUCUAUGAAAAGUGAAAGUCAACUAUGCUUUAUGUCUGUGCUACCCUGAAUUGACAUGGAUCUGUGAUGAUUUUAACACCACUAUGGCUCAGUUAUGUGUGUGACUCAGGCUAGUUUUAGCGCCAUUUAGAUUUGGGACUACAAGUUUACCUUAUAUCAUUUUAUUAUUUAUUUCCAUCCAUCUUAAAGAAAGGUAGAGAAUUGCCUGUGGUUUACUGGUAGUGGUCAUGGUGGAUUUCCUCUGGGGCAUGAAACUAGCUUUCCAAGGGUGACAUGAAUCAGCUACAGAGCAACACAACAGGAAUUAAAAGAACUGUAAGGGCCGGGUGCAAUGACUCACACUUGUAAUCCCGGAGUCAUUGCACUGUAGCCUAGGCAAGGACAAAAUUCCCUCUAAAAAAACAAAACAAAACAAAAAGAAGAAAUGUAAUCUCAAAAGGCACUUCUGUUUAAAACUACAAAAUCCUAUGUACUAUUUUUUUUCUGCUGAUUGAAAAUAAAUUUCAGAAUCCUAAGUGGAUUGAAAAGGUACAAAAACUAAAGAAUUGUUUGACAUAUAUGAAUAUUUUCUGGUUUUCGCUGAUUGUUACUAGAGAUUAGAAUUGUAUGAUUAAAUGAAUUGAAACAUUGUAUCUGUAAUGAUACUUAGAGAGAUUUUUAUAACUAUAGUGGCCCUUACAUUCUUUCAAACUUACGGAGGAAAAUUUUUGCUGAAGUAUGCGAAAACGCUGAUCAAUCUGUCUGCUCUGCUCGCAUUUUUCUCAGAUCAUUUGCAUCUACACCGAGAGAUGUGAAGCCAUACCAUGCUACUUUUCCUGGCCGGAGUUGAUUAGACCAGGAAUGGACUCCUAACCAAGAUGGGCUAAUAAUAAUUGUUACUCUGGAGUCCUCAUAAAUAGGGCAAACUAUUUAGUGGAAUAGAAUAUCCAGAAAUACAUCCAGAAAAUGUAUAAAUUUGACAGAUGACAAAGGACAUAUUUCAGUUUCAUGGGAAAAGACACAGUAAUGCUGGUGCUAGCAUAAUUGGCUCUCUACCUAAAAGAAAUGAAACCAGACCCCGAUUUCACACCAUCUACAAAAAAUGUCUAUGAUGAUAUAAUAUCUUCAUGUAAAAAUAAAAUCAAUAAAAAUAUUUGAAGAAAUUAGGUAUUUACAUGUCCUUGGCUAGAGAAGAACUUCUUACACAGAUUAGGAAACUCAAAAUCCAUAAAGUAAAAAAUUUGAAUAUUAAAAAUAUCUUAUUAUUACAAAAUAAAUCCUAAAGAGAGUCAGAAGAUGAACAAUGGACUAGAAAAUAUAUUUUAAACAGAUACUGCAUUUAACAGGGUUGACUGCACCGUCAUCCUUGAAAUAUCUCCAAGUAUUUGAAUUUCAUCUACAAUGCUACACUCUCCUGCUUUCUUUUCUACGUCACUCACUGAUUGCUGCUUUUCAGCCCAAUUUACUCCUCUCUCUUAUUCUAAAUCUUGGAGUACCCCAGAGUUCAUUUCUUAGCUCCUUAUAUUUCUGAAUGCCCCCUUGGUGAUUUCAUGGGAUCCCAUGGCACCAGAUGACACUUACACUCUGAAGAUUCACAAUUUGACAUCUCCACCUGAACUGCUCCCCUGACAGUCAGACUUAUCUUUCCAACACCAACCAGCAUCUCCCUGUGGCUGUCUAAAAGGCUUCUCCAUCUCAACAUGUCCAAUCAAGGACUUUCCAUUUUCAUUCUUAAAACCUUUCCCCAUCCCCACUCUAGCAAUACUCUUUUUGCUAAUGUUAUGGUUUGGUAUGGUUUAUUUGGCUCCACCAAGUCUCAUACUGACAGUGAUCUCUGGUGUUGGAGGUGGGACCUGGUGAAGGCAUUUGGAUCUUGGGGGCAGAUCCUACAUAAUAGUUUGGUGCCGUCCUUGUCAAAAUGACUGAGCCCUCGCUCUUAGUUUCCAUUGGAACUGGUUAUUGAAAAGAACCUGGCACCUCCUCUGCCUGUCUCUCACCAUGUGAUCUCUGCAUACAGACUCCUCCUCCUUUUCCACCAUGAGUAGAAGCUUUCUGAGGCCUCACCAGAAGCAGAUGCUGGGGCCAUGGUUGUACAGCCUGCAGAACCAUGAGCCAAAUAAACGUGUUCUUUAUAAAUUACCCAGUCUCAUAUUUUCUCUGAUAGCAACACAAAUGGACUAAGACAAAGAAAUAAAAAUUAAUAGCAUCAAGCUUUUGUUUAAGCCAAAAACCUAAGAAUCACCCUUAAUUCCUGCUGAAACCUCACAUUCUACAUCUAGCCACUGAAAAAGCUGCUUUGCAUUAUUUUCAAAAUACAUUUUCUAGACACCCACUUGUCCUUGUUCCUUACAAUGUUCUCUUCAUUGAACUGCCAUAAUCUUGCUCCUAGAUUACUACAAUGGCCUUGUAACUACAUUUCCCAUCACACGCUUGACUUCCUCCAUUAUAUUCUCCAUAAAUGACCAAUAUGAUAAAACAAAAGAAAACAUAAAUUAGACCAUGGUUUUCUUCUAGUUGUAAGCCUCCAGUAUAAUCCCGUCUCACUUAAAAUAAAAUGUAAUCUCUUCCCCA